UUUCAGUCGCACCUAUGUGUGAUUUUAGUCGCACGCGUGUAACACUGCAAAUUUGCAUACUUUAUAAGCCAGAGAAUUCAGUCAUUUUAUUCAGUGCGAAACUGGGUUUAGAAAGACGGUGGAUUCGUCGGAAGACGAAGGGUUAUUCAUUACACAGAGCUCUACGAAGGGAGAUAUUUCUGCAGAAAUCGAAUCAAGAAUUUAGAACGACAAUUACAGCUUCAGAAUGCAAGAAGUUUGACAAAAGCUUGGUAUCAGGCGCCAGCCGCCGGAAAUGGGCGUGGGUUUUAAAAAGUCUUUGAGGAGCGGAAGAAGC